CAACCUCAACUCAUAUGGGACUACCCCCUGAAUUUAAGCAUAUUAAUUAGGGGAGGAAAAGAAACUAACAAGGAUUUUCUUAGUAGCGGCGAGCGAAAAGAAAAUAGUUCAGCACUAAGUCACUUUGUCUUUAUGGCAAAUGUGAGAUGCAGUGUAUGGAGCAUCAAUAUUCUAGUAUGAGAAAUUAAUGAUUUAAGUCCUUCUUAAAUGAGGCCAUUUACCCAUAGAGGGUGCCAGGCCCGUAUAACGUUAAUGAUUACUAGAUGGUGUUUCCAAAGAGUCGUGUUGCUUGAUAGUGCAGCACUAAGUGGGUGGUAAACUCCAUCUAAAACUAAAUAUAACCAUGAGACCGAUAGUAAACAAGUACCGUGAGGGAAAGUUGAAAAGAACUCUGAAUAGAGAGUUAAAUAGUACGUGAAACUGCUUAGAGGUUAAGCCCGAUGAACCUGAAUAUCCAUUAUGGAAAAUUCAUCAUUAGAGUUUUAAUAUUUUAAUAAUAUUAUAAUAAUAGUGUGCAUUUUUUCCAUAUAAGGACAUUGUAAUCUAUUAACAUAAACCAAAUUUAUCAUAAAAUAUGACUUAUAGUUUAUUUAAAUUAUUUUGCUUGCAUUUUAACAUAGAAUAAAUGUCAUUAAUUUGAUAAAGUGUUGAUAGAUUUAUAUGAAUACAGUGCGUUAAUUUUUCGGAAUUAUAUAAUAGCAUGAUUAUCAUUGAUUUUCUGUGUUUAUUAUAUGCACUUGUAUGAUUAACAAUGCGAAAGAUUCAUGAUACCUUCGGGACCCGUCUUGAAACACGGACCAUGAGUCUAACAUAUGUGCAAGUUAUUGGGAUAUAACCUAAU
rnacentral:ncRNA from 1 species